GGGAAGGUGGCCGAGCUGGCCGAAGGCGCUCCCCUGCUAAGGGAGUAUAGGACAUAAUCCUAUCGCGGGUUCGAAUCCCGCCCUUCCCG
rnacentral:tRNA from 1 species